CCUACGGGUGGCAGCAGUGGGGAAUAUUGCACAAUGGGGGAAACCCUGAUGCAGCGACGCCGCGUGAGUGAAGAAGGAUUUCGGUAUGUAAAGCUCUAUCAGCAGGGAAGAAAAUGACGGUACCUGAUCAAGAAGCCCCGGCUAACUACGUGCCAGCAGCCGCGGUAAUACGUAGGGGGCAAGCGUUAUCCGGAGUUACUGGGUGUAAAGGGAGCGUAGACGGCAGCACAAGUCAGGAGUGAAAUGCCGGGGCUUAACCCCGGAACUGCUUUUGAAACUGUGCAGCUAGAGUGCAGGAGAGGUAAGUGGAAUUCCUAGUGUAGCGGUGAAAUGCGUAGAUAUUAGGAGGAACACCAGUGGCGAAGGCGGCUUACUGGACUGUAACUGACGUUGAGGCACGAAAGCGUGGGUAGCAAACAGGAUUAGAUACCCGAGUAGUC
rnacentral:rRNA from 1 species